UGUAGGUUCCCUUAAUGAAAUUACGGU
rnacentral:sRNA from 1 species